CCCCACUGUAUUCAUCCAUUUUCAUACUGCUAUAAAUAAUACCUAAGACUGAGUAAUAUAUAAAGAAAAGAGGUUUAAUUGACUCACGGUUCUGCAUGGCUGAAGAAGCCUCAGGAAACUUAUAGUCAUGGUGGAAGGUUAAGGUGAAGCAAGGCACAUCUUACCCUUAUGGCGUCAGGAGAGAGAGAGAAAGGGGAAGCACAAGACACUUAUAAGCAGCCAUAUCUCAUGAGAACUCACUCAUAAUCAUGAGAAGAGCCUGGGGAAAACUGCCCCCAUGAGCCAAUCACCUCCCACCAGGUUCCUCUAUCACAGGUGGGAAUUACAGUUUGAAAUGAGAUUUGGGUGGGGACACAGAGACAAACCAUAUCACCCUGCCCCGGCCCCUUCCAAAUAUCAUGCCCUUUGCACAUUUUAAAAUCAAUUGUUAGUUAUGAGUUCUAAAUUUCUUUUCAAAGAAUCAAUAUGUCAGUAUGUUCAAUUCUUUGCCUUCUACUUUUAAACUUAACUUCCUUGUAAAGCAACCUUUUUCGAUUACCUACUCCACCCUGACCCAUUCUGAUUACCUCCUCUGCCCUGACUCAUUCCAAUUACCUACUCCACCCUGACUCAUUCCGAUUACCUGCUCUGUCAUAACCAUUUUUCCCACCAAACCACUCACCCCGUCACUCUCUUUCAAUUAGCCAAUCAGAAUUAGUUUAGCCUGUGCGGUCUAACCCUUGCCAAUAGGGGCCACAUGCGUCAGGGAUAAGAACCCCUUCCCCUCCCUUGUCCAAGUGUGUGCUCACCAUUGCUCCAUCUGUAAGGGUGUACCCUUCUGUAGAAGUACCUUGCCUUGCUGAGAAUUAAAAAGAAAAUUUUAUAUUCGAGUACUAGUUCUUUUGCAGCACCGAAACUUUAUUUAUAACAAUUUGGGGCCUCACCGGUGAUUACAUUAUCCUCCGGGGGCGGUCUCUGGUUCUCUCUUCUGAGGAGACAUGCCCCGCCCCCUUGUGGCGGCCUCGGGGGUGAGAACUCAAGACCCACUCAGUGCGAGGAAUAACCGCAGCUCUCAGCAACGCGCAGGGGAGGGGCUGGGGGGAGGGACUGGCCAGCAACCUAGCUUAAAGGAUCCUCAUAGACUGCAGCGACGAUUCUGUGCACAGACUAAGGAAGGAGAAGCUGCAGGAACCGUUUCCUGAGUUGCAAGUUUAGGCUCUUGGCUGUAAACAGUUCUUCUUUCCUAAUAUUUCAAACAUUUCAUUGAAGGAGAUCAAGAAAAUUAAUUACUGAUCAAGAGCCCACCUAAACUUGAAAACAAGCUUAUGUUACUAUAGAAGAAUGAGAGAUCACCUGGGCAAAUAUAAGACAUUUUAGAUGAUCCAUAAUAGAAUUACUAACCUCCAGUCUGUCUGCCAGCUCCACAAAGACACAAGAGCAAACCCAGAAAUUCUGAGAACCUUCCUUGAAAUCAUUGAACAGCAAAUGAACAAGCUGUUGCCAACCUGGGGUAGAAGACAGCAGAAUUCCAGCAAGUUUCCUGAAUGGAUUCCCAUUCACUGCUCUUGUUAAGCUGUGGAAUCCAUGUGGCCAGACCUAUGAUUGCUGUUUUUCUUCUCUUUGGCCAGGACUUGGGAGAGCUCUGGUAAGAGACAGGGAAACCUUUCCUUUCCCCUUCCCAGGGACUCAGUAAAUAUGCAGGCACCACAGCCAGGGUAUUCAUUGAUCAGAUGUACAUCCCUCCUCCACAACAGACAAAUUGAUCACUCUGGAUCACCAAGAAGAUCUACGUUGUUUACAUAAUAACAAUAGUGGGGUUUAUUACAGUGUAAUAUUGUAAUGACUUUUUGUCCAGGAAACUUGUGAACAUCCCAUUUUUAUCCACAAACUGUUAUUCUUUCCUGCAAGGUCCCCAAGGGAAGUAUACACACAAUAUAAUUAAAACACAACAAAGAAGCAUUCUACUGUGCGUUUACCAUACACUCUAAAGUGGAAUUUCAAGACACUAAGCGAAAGCAUACUUUAUUUUAAAUGUUAGAUAUGCUGGUAUGUUUUGUACAAUCAAAUACUUAUGAGACCUGUUCUCUCCAUUUGUCCUAGUGAGGCAGGAAAUUAAAGAAAAAUAAAAUUAAAAAGAGAAAUAAGUUUUCCUGUAUUAGGCUAACUUGUCCCAGGCAGCAACAGGCACAGCCCAGACCCAGGAAAAUUCUUGCUAAUAUUAUCUAAUGUGCUCUGGAGGCUCUCCCAGCAUUCCCUCAACAUACGGAGAAGAAAAACCAAAUUUUCCUUUAUUUUAUGGAAUGAGUUUAUAGAUUCCUGUUCUCUGUAACUAGUGACUUCAAGUAUUGUUUUAUCUAAGAAGUACAACGAAGGUCAUGAGAAGCCUGAGUAGGCCUGAACUACAGCUGCCUGGGCACCAUAGUGAAGGUUAUGGGAUAAGCCCGUGCCUAGGCAAACCUAGAUAACGGACAUCUGGGUUGCAUAGCAAUGGUUAUGUGCAAUCCUACGUUAUACACCUGUUACAAUUUGAUUAACUGUCUUUGUCCUGCCUCUGUAUCCCUGCUUUCACACCACUGUAAGCUUGCUUCAAGCUAGCCGACCCCCUUUUCUAAAGUGUAUAUAAAAGUCAAGUGCUGUCUUUGUUCUGGGCCCAGUCUUUGGACGUGAGUCUGCUGGGCCUGAGUGCACUCAAUAAAAGGUUCUCCUGUUUUAACCCGAGACCUCUCUUGUCCUCCUGGAUCCCGCAACAAUAGAGCCAAAAUCUUGGUCGUUGAAUUUUCUCCUUUAAUGGGACAAAGUCUUCAGGGGCCACCACUUCUCA
rnacentral:lncRNA from 10 species